rnacentral:rRNA from 1 species
GAUGAACGCUGGCGGCGUGCCUAACACAUGCAAGUCGAACGGAGAUUACGGACGGAAGUUUUCGGAUGGAAGCCUGUAAUUCUUAGUGGCGGACGGGUGAGUAACGCGUGGGCAACCUGCCCUAUACAGGGGGAUAGCAGCUGGAAACGGCUGGUAAGACCGCAUAAGUCGGUUAAAUCGCAUGAUUUGAUCGGGAAAUGAGCAAUCAGGUAUAGGAUGGGCCCGCGUCCGAUUAGCCAGUUGGCAGGGUAAAAGCCUACCAAAGCGACGAUCGGUAGCCGGACUGAGAGGUCGGACGGCCACAUUGGGACUGAGGCACGGCCCAAACUCCUACGGGAGGCAGCAGUGGGGGAUAUUGCACAAUGGAGGAAACUCUGAUGCAUCGACGCCGCGUGAGUGAAGAAGUAUUUCGGUAUGUAAAGCUCUAUCAGCAGGGAAGAUGAUGACGGUACCUGACUAAGAAGCCCCGGCUAACUACGUG